CAAAAGUUUGGUCCUGACUUUAAUGUCAGCUUUAACCCAAUUUACACAUGCAAGUCUCCGCACCCCUGUGAGGAUGCCCUCAAUCCCCCUUCCGGGGACGAGGAGCUGGUAUCAGGCACAAUGAACUUGGCCCAGGACACCUUGCUUAGCCACACCCCCAAGGGUAUUCAGCAGUGAUAGAUCUUAAGCUAUAAGUGAAAACUUGACUUAGUCAGGGUUAAGAGGGCCGGUAAAACUCGUGCCAGCCACCGCGGUUAUACGAGAGGCCCUAGUUGACACAUUCCGGCGUAAAGAGUGGUUAUGGGAAUUAAAAACUAGAGCUGAAGACUCCUAGGGCCGUUAUACGUUUUCCAGGGGUUCGAAACACUAAAACGAAAGUAGCUCUAUCCUUACCUACCAGACUCCACGACAGCUGAGACACAAACUGGGAUUAGAUACCCCACUAUGCUCAGUCGUAAACUUAGAUAUGAUUUUACAACAAAUAUCCGCCUGGGGACUACAAGCACUAGCUUAAAACCCAAAGGACUUGGCGGUGCUUCAGACCCCCCUAGAGGAGCCUGUUCUAGAACCGAUAACCCCCGUUAAACCUCACCACUCCUUGCCCCGCCCCGCCUAUAUACCACCGUCGCCAGCUUACCCUAUGAAGGCACAACAGUAAGCAGGAUGGGAAAAUCCCAAAACGUCAGGUCGAGGUGUAGCGUACGAAGUGGGAAGAAAUGGGCUACAUUAUUUGAAGCAAAUGAUUACGGAUGGUCACCUGAAAUUAAUAAACCUGAAGGUGGAUUUAGCAGUAAAGAGGGAGCAGAGUGCCUUCUUGAAGCCGGCUCUGAAGCGCGCACACACCGCCCGUCACUCUCCCCGACAACGACAUAAUUUAGUAAAUAACAAAAUGAUAGUAACAAGGGGAGGCAAGUCGUAACAUGGUAAGUGUACCGGAAGGUGCACUUGGACUAAC
rnacentral:ncRNA from 1 species